UCUUUGGAGAGUUACAAAAAACUAGAGUAGCUUAUUGAAGUAUUUUCAAUAGCCAAAUAGAACUCAUUGAAAAAGAAA
ncrna:unclassified sequences RAGATH-18 RNA